UAGUCUUAAAAAUAUCUCUUUUUGGCGUCCUUUGGGACACACACAGCAAUCUCCCUCUUUUUUUUAGGAGGGCCCUUCCGAGCUUUUAGGGCUGACUCCUAAAAGCAGAAGAGGACAUU
rnacentral:snoRNA from 1 species